rnacentral:rRNA from 1 species
AACGGAUAUCUCGGCUCUCGCCAACGAUGAAGAAUGUAGCGAAAUGCGAUACUUAGUGUGAAUUGCAGGAAUCCCGUGAAUCAUCAAGUCUUUGAACGCAAGUUGCGCCCGAGGCCUCGGCCAAGGGCACGUCUGCUUGGGCGUCGC